UCAGGUGUCUUUAUCGCGGGUGUUACACCUCUUCCCAUUCCGAACAGAGAAGUUAAGCCCCGCAGAGCCGAUGGUACUAUAUGGGUAACUGUAUGGGAGAGUAGGACGGUGCCUGAU
rnacentral:rRNA from 1 species